UUCAUUUCGGUAAACUUAAAUGACGAAAUGAGUCGGUAAAACAUAUUUUUACUAAUAUAUCGUUCAACUUUGACAGAUGAGCGAUAUUGACAGAUGAAAAUUGACGAAAAUCGGUAGUUUACAUAAAUAACUGAGACUCGGUAAUCGAUUUUGCCACAACAAUCAGCAAACAAAUACUUUUACUGAAUUUCGGCAAAACGAAUCUGUCAAAAUCUUAAAAUCAGAGCUGCAGAAGCCAACAUGUGUUCGGAAUGUUUUGAAACGUUCUUGUGAACAGCGUAUGAAUUUUCCUUGGGACGUCUCACCCUCGAAAUGGAAUUGCAGCGAAAAUGGUCGUGCGGCUAUUACAUAUUUACUUCUAACGGAAAAGCGCAACAUUCCCUAAAGUGAGCGAAAAGUGAAAUGUAAUGAUGGCUCAUAUAUUUGUGAUGCAAUAAUACAUUAACUUCAAAUACAUUUGUUUAUGUUAUUAAAA